AGUAACGCGUGAGGAACCUGCCUCAAAGAGGGGGACAACAGUUGGAAACGACUGCUAAUACCGCAUAAGCCCACGGCUCGGCAUCGAGCAGAGGGAAAAGGAGUGAUCCGCUUUGAGAUGGCCUCGCGUCCGAUUAGCUAGUUGGUGAGGUAACGGCCCACCAAGGCGACGAUCGGUAGCCGGGCUGAGAGGUUGAACGGCCACAUUGGGACUGAGACACGGCCCAG
rnacentral:rRNA from 1 species